rnacentral:piRNA from 1 species
UGGUUAAUCCAUGGUGCCCUGUGUCUGU